rnacentral:rRNA from 1 species
UACCUGCAGCUCGAGUGGUAACCGCUAAUAUUGGGCCUAAAGCGUCCGUAGCCGGUUUGGUAAAUAUCUGGGUAAAUCGUGAGGCUUAACUUCACGAAUUUCGGAUAGACUGCCAGACUUGGGAUCGGGGGAGGUCAGAGGUACUCCAGGGGUAGCGGUGAAAUGUUGUAAUCCUUGGAGGACCACCGGUAGCGAAGGCGUCUGACUAGAACGAGUCCGACGGUGAGGGACGAAGCCCUGGGGCGCAAACCGGAUUAGAUACCCGGGUAGUCCAGGGUGUAAACGAUGUGGGCUUUGUAUUGGAGGUCCCACGUGGGCGUCCAGUGCAGAAGAGAAGUUGUUAAGCCCACCGCCUGGGAAGUACGGUCGCAAGGCCGAAACUUAAAGGAAUUGGCGGGGGAGCACAGCAACGGGAGGAGCGUGCGGUUC